rnacentral:rRNA from 1 species
UUAAAUUGAAGAGUUUGAUCAUGGCUCAGAUUGAACGCUGGCGGCAGGCCUAACACAUGCAAGUCGAGCGGCAGCGGGAAAGUAGCUUGCUACUUUUGCCGGCGAGCGGCG